rnacentral:rRNA from 1 species
UGGGGAAUAUUGGACAAUGGGCGAAAGCCUGAUGGAGCAACGCCGCGUGUGUGAUGAAGGGUUUCGGCUCGUAAAACACUGUUGUAAGAGAAGAAUGACAUUGAGAGUAACUGUUCAAUGUGUGACGGUAUCUUACCAGAAAGGGACGGCUAAAUACGUGCCAG